rnacentral:snoRNA from 1 species
AUGAACAUCUAAGGGACUGAGUUGUUUGUCAUAUUAUAUUUUUACGAGAUAACGAUAAGGUUUGCGUAGAUUUAUAAUAUGCUUUGCUAAUUACAUAUUUUUGUGUAUCACACUUUUUAUAGUGUGAUAUUUUAGUAAGUGAAGCUAUAAUAAAGUUCCCCUCGCUAUCCUUUGCAUCUAAUUUUUUGUGGUGUAUUUGGACGUUGGGG